GCCCAUUUAUUCUGCCAACAAAUGAUUCACAUCACAAGUGAUGUUACAACGCUAUGAACGACGUCUUGACAUUAACAGAGUAAAAUCAGACAGAAAGUUUUUAUCGCAGAAUCGUGUGAGGAAUUUGUCAGUCGUGAUGUCUGUGCUCGUUUUUAAGUCAUGUACCAUAAAUUUUGUUGAAGAUUAAUAUGAGAAACAUUAUUGUAUCAAAUAAAAGACAGUUAUCCUUUUUAAUAUUGAUACUCUUGUGAAUAAGCAAGGUUUAAGUUAACAACUGCAAAGAAUGAUCUUGAAGGAGUGAAACUUUUAUUUAUGCAAAUGAUACACCUGAUACUAAGCAGUAAAGGAAAAUUGCAGAGGGAACUUGAUCUUGGAAUCAUGGAAUUGCUUGACUUGUGGUCUACGGCAGUUUGAAGCCUUUAUAACUUCCACCUUAAUAAUCUGGAUAGAGUGUGCUCUUGCACGAUGACGCGCACCCAUGUCCCUAUAACACUGAGUUACAGCUCCACUAACAGAGAGAUCUCUGUAUUCUCUGUACAUAUUGUGCGUCCCAGAACGAGAGUCAUAUCUCAACCAAAUUCCAAAGUUCUUGAUUUUAAUUGGAGUUUUUUGUGGAAUCUGAAAUAUUUAUUCUUCAUGUUAUAUUCAUGUUACCACAGAUAAUAAAAUAAUCAAAGACGUAUCUAAA